UCCGUAGGCGGUGUGGUAAGUCGAUAGUGAAAUCUCUGGGCUUAACCCAGAGGCUGCUAACGAAACUGCCAUGCUAGGGUGUGAGAGAGGCGAGUGGAAUUACGGGUGUAGCGGUGAAAUGCGUAGAUAUCCGUAGGAACAUCCGAGGCGAAGGCGGCUCGCUGGAUCACAACUGACGCUGAGGGACGAAAGCUAGGGGAGCAAACAGGAUUAGAUACCCUGGUAGUCCUAGCCCUAAACCAUCAGGACUUGGGGUUUGCCCUGUACGGGGCAAGUCCCGUAGCUAACGCGUUAAGUCCUGCGCCUGGGGAGUACGGUCGCAAGGCUGAA
rnacentral:rRNA from 1 species